rnacentral:lncRNA from 1 species
CUCACCUACAAUUCUGCAGAUGAAUGAUUUCUGCUGGAGAGACAGCUUUAUGCCAGGGAGUCUUCAACCACUCAGGUGAUUUCUAGCUUACUGCUCUCCUUAGGGCAUUAGCUUCCUCUGUAUGGUUGAAACUUGGGCAGUGCCACCUCUGCAUCCCAACCUAUGGCAAGGGGUGGGGGCAAGAGAGGAAAUGAACAAACAGAUUCCUCUAAGCAGUGCACACACAUGCAUUAGUGAGAACUUUUGUAGACACAGGUAGCUGCAUAGGAAACUGGAAAAUGGCACUGGCUGGCUACUUGCUAGUGCUAGGGAGGAAGGGAGGAGGUUAGAUGGCCUCUAACUACCCAAUACA